rnacentral:misc_RNA from 1 species
CCAAACUUGGUCAUUUAGAGGAAGUAAAAGUCGUAACAAGGUUUCCGUAGGUGAACCUGCGGAAGGAUCAUUAUUGAACAAACUUGGAUUGGUUGUUGCUGGCUUGUUCAAAGCAUGUGCACGCCUUCUCCAUUUUUUAUUUUAAAACCCACCUGUGCAUCUUGUGUAGAUCUGAAACACUGUUCGAGAGGGGAUGACUUCUUGGUCUGGGGAUUGCUUGUGUGUUCCAAAAACAUCCAGCUUUCCUUGUAUUCGGGUCUAUGUUCAUUAUUAUAUACUACUCCAUGGGAAUGUAUCAGAGCGUUGUCAAAGGCUUUUUUAUGCCUCUAAAACAAAUACAACUUUCAACAACGGAUCUCUUGGCUCUCGCAUCGAUGAAGAACGCAGC